GUUUGAUUCUAAGUGCUCUGUUUUAGGAACGAUGCUGAUGGUGAAGGACAGCAAGUUCCUUCCAUGUAAGAAACCGAGGAUACUAAACCUGGAGAAGAGAAGAUUGAAACGAAAGGCAGAAUCUCAAAUGCUCUUUAGCUCCAGAGUAUAGAACCUGGAAUAAUGGAUGGAAGUUGUGAAGGAGCACAUUUUUUGAUUCUAUGCGAGGGGGAAACACUUCUUCCCAUUCCACAGUGAAAUGGGCCGUCUUGGGAGGUGACAGUCUCCCCUUCCUUUUAUCAUCUUUGAGUCAAGGCUGGAUGACCUUUUGCUGUGUAUCAAUGAGCCUUUAUGAAGUGCUUGCCAGGCAUGGUGUUAAAUGCUGAAGAUACAACAGAACAGAAAAAUCCAUCCUGCCUUCAAAGAGUUUACAUUUCAAUGGGGGCAUCUAAAGCAAGACACAUUCAGGAGGACCUCAAGAAGCUGGCAGAGGCAGAGAACACAAAGGACUGGUGGCAGGGGCUCAAGCUCUUGGAACCACGGAGAGAGAUAGGCCUCUAAGAAAGCUAACUGGGCCCCAGGCAAGAAGACAAGACUUUGAAGGAGACAAUAAAGGAUUUGGACUUUAACAGCUGGCUGUACUUGCAAUGAUUACUGAACUGAAAGGAAAGCUGCUCCCAGAGACCCCAAGAAAACCCAAAAGAGAACAUUACAGUCAACUACUCUCUUUCUUGAUUCUAAAUCUACCACCAUGCCCUUGCCACACAUCUCUUCAUCUGGCAAAUAAGUCAUGUUUGCUGAAUCAGGCUUGCAUGAAGUGAUGCAAAGUGAAAUGAGAUUAUUAUACAUGCCAACAAGACUACACAACAAUCAAUUCUGAUGGACGUGGCUCUCUUCAACACUUAGAUGAUUCAAACCAGUUCCACUUGUGCAGUGAUGAAGAGAACCAUCUAUACCUAGAGAUAGAACCAUGGAAACAGAGUAUGAAACACAACAUAACAUUCUCACUCUCUCUGUUGUUAUUUGCUUGCUUUUUUCUUCUCAGUUUUUCUUUUUCUUCCUUCUUGAUCUGAUUUUUCUUGUGCACCAAGAUAGCUGUAUAAAUAUGUAUGCACAUA